ensembl:lncRNA
CCCAUAGGACUAUAUCUAUACUAUAUAUAUAAUGGAUAUAUACUGAGCCCACCCCAUAGGGCAGGGUCUAUACUAUAUAUAUAUAUACUGGAUCUAUACUGAGCCCACCCCAUAGGACUAUAUCUAUACUAUAUAUAUACUGGAUCUAUACUGAGCCCACCCCAUAGGGCUGGAUCUAUACUGAGCCCACCCCAUAGGGCAGGAUCUAUACUAUAUAUAUACUGGGUCUAUACUGAGCCCACCCCAUAGGGCUGGAUCUAUACUAUAUAUAUACUGGAUCUAUACUGAGCCCAUCCCAUAGGGCAGGGUCUACACUGAGCCCACCCCAUAGGGCAGGGUCUAUACUGAGCCCACCCCAUAGGGCUGGAUCUAUAUCAUAUAUAUAUACUGGAUCUAUACUGAGCCCACCCCAUAGAGCUGGGUCUAUUCUGAGCCCACCCCAUAGGGCUGUGUCUAUACUAUAUAUAUAUACUGGAUCUAUACUGAGCCCACCCCAUAGGGCUGGAUCUAUACUGAGCCCACCCCAUAGAGCUGGAUCUAUACUAUAUAUAUACAGGAUCUAUAUUGAGCCCACCCCAUAGGGCUGGGUCUAUAGUAUAUAUAUACUGGAUCUAUUCUGAGCCCACCCCAUAGGGCUGGAUCUAUACUGAGCCCACCCCAUAGGGCAGGAUCUAUACUAUAUAUAUAUAUACUGGAUCUAUACUGAGCCCUCCCCAUAGGGCUGGAUCUACACCGAGCCCACCCCAUAGGGCAGCAUCUAUACUGAGCCCACCCCAUAGGGCUGGGUCUAUACUCUCUAUAUACUGGAUCUAUACUCUCUAUACUGUAUCUAUACUCUAUAUCUAUACUGUAUCUAUAUUCUCCAUACUGGAUCUAUACUCUAUACCUAUAGUGGGUCUGUGCUCUGUGUGCAGUGACGUUGCGGUGGAGCUGCCCUUCACUUUGAUGCACCCCAAACCCCGAGAGGAGCCGACGCACCGUGACGUUCCAGAGAACGAAGCUCCCAUAGACACGAACCCUGAUAGAGCUCGACACAAAGUAAGACCCCCCCCCUCACCCCAUUUACCCCACCCCAGUAGCCUCCAUGUCCCCACCCCAUAGCGCCUCCCUCCGCCCCAUAGCUCCAUCCCGCACCCCAUAGCUCCAUCCCUGCCCCAUAGCUCCAUCCCCCCACCAUUACCCCCCCUCACCCCAUUACCCACCCCAUAGCUCCAUCCCCGCCCCAUAGCCCAUAGCCCCACCCCAUAGCUCCAUCCCCACCCCAUAGCUCCAUCCCCGCCCCAUAGCUCCAUCCCCACCCCAUAGCUCCAUCCCCACCCCAUAAGCUCCAUCCCCACCCCAUAGCUCCAUCCCCGCCCAUAGCUCCAUCCCGCCCAUAAGUCAUCCCCACCCCAUAGCUCAUCCCCGCCCAUAGCUCCAUCCCUGCCCCAGUAGCUCCAUCCCGCCCCCAUAGCUCCAGUCCCCACCCCAUAGCUCCAUCCCCGCCCACAGCUCAUCCCCACCCCAAGCUCCAUCCCCGCCCCAUAGCUCCAUCCCCCAAUAACUCCACCCCACCAUACGCUCCAUCUGCCCCCAUAUCAUCCGCCUACCUCAUC